GCCGCAGUGGUGGAAUUGGCAGACACGCUGGUCUUAGGAACCAGUGCAGCAAUGCGUGGGAGUUCGAGUCUCUUCUGCGGCA
rnacentral:tRNA from 1 species